GCACUUCUGAAAAGUCCCAAAAUAGGACGAAACAGCUGUCGAGUAC
rnacentral:hammerhead_ribozyme from 1 species